CCUACGGGAGGCAGCAGUGAGGAAUAUUGGUCAAUGGACGAGAGUCUGAACCAGCUAAGUAGCGUGAAGGAUGACUGCCCUAUGGGUUGUAAACUUCUUUUAUAUGGGAAUAAAAUGUUCCACGUGUGGGAUUUUGUAUGUACCAUAUGAAUAAGGAUCGGCUAACUCAGGGCCACCAGCCGCGGUAAUACGGAGGAUCCGAGAGUUAUCCGGAUUUAUUGGGUUGAACGGGAGCGUAGGUGGGUUGUUUAGUCAGUUGGGAAAGUUUGCGGCUGAACCGUAAAAUUGCAGUUGAAACGGGCAGGAUUGAGUACAGUAGAGGUGGGCGGAAUUCGUGGUGUAGCGGGGAAAUGGUUAGAUAUCACGAAGAAAUACGAUUGCGAAGGCAGUUCACUGGACUGCAACUGACACUGAGGAUAGAAAGUGUGGGUAUCAAACAGGAUUAGAUACCCGUGUAGUC
rnacentral:rRNA from 1 species